rnacentral:rRNA from 1 species
GACGAACGCUGGCGGCGUGCUUAACACAUGCAAGUCGAACGGAAAGGCCCUGCUUUUGUGGGGUGCUCGAGUGGCGAACGGGUGAGUAACACGUGAGUAACCUGCCCUUGACUUUGGGAUAACUUCAGGAAACUGGGGCUAAUACCGUAUAGGAUCUCCUGCUGCAUGGUGGGGGUUGGAAAGUUUCGGCGGUUGGGGAUGGACUCGCGGCUGAUGAGCUUGUUGGUGGGGUAGUUGCUGACCAAGGCUUUGACGGGUAGCCGGCCUGAGAGGGUGACCGGCCACAUUGGGACUGAGAUACGGACCAGAGUCCAACGGGAGGCAGCAGUGGGAAAUAUUGCCCAGUGGGCGGAAGCCUGAUGCAGAAACGCCGCGUGCGGGAUGACGGCCUUCGGGUUGUAAACCGCUUUAGCCUGUGACGAAGCGUGAGUGACGGUAAUGGGUAAAGAAGCACCGGCUAACUACGUG